AUUUGGAGGGACAAAUUCAAAACAAAUAUAGAGUCUUGGGCUUCAUAUUGACUGUAGGUAUGUAGUAAAGCUGUGCAGAAUUGCAUAUGCUUUUAACAGGCUCAAGUCUUCACUCAGUUUUCAGUCCUCUGAGAGAUGUUGCUGUCCAAAUGGUUUUGUCUAAAGACUUCUGCUGUUCAGUGGCUGGCCAAUAUAGGCUCUGAAGGAGGUUUUGGAUAAACAGUGUUCCUGCUGAGGAAGAAUGACUUUAUGUGUAUUUACACGGCAGAUUAGUGGCUGACAAUUAUUCUUUGGUGAAAAAUGCACACUUUAAAUUACAGCUCCUUUGGUUGUGCUUACAUGGGUCAUUACCUCUUGGGGGUAUUUUUAUGCAGUGGUUUCCAUGUGUUGUCACUUAACAGUAUUUAGUUUUCUUGUUCUAAUAAAACAAGAAAGCCUGGGUGAGCAUCAGCUUGGGAAUAGUACAGGCUGAAAGCUCCACUUUGCAAAUACUUGUCUAUGAAUUGGUUUCUGUAGGUCAACUUUCCCUGAAAUCAAUUUAUUCUACCCAGCUGUAUGAAACACAUGCAGCAAUAGAAUCAGCCCAAGACAGAGGAAGAAGUCCAUCAGAUCUGACAGAACUGAAGAGAAAGUGGAACUCUCCUUUGGUUUCAGUUGACCUGAUUCAGCCCAGGCCAUGGGGCACCAACUGGUCAGAUGCCUGAAAGUGUUCUUGGUUCCACUGAGGCACCGUGCACCUGGAGCAGCACCCUGCUCUGCUUGCGGCUGCUCUGCUGCCCUAAAUAUCAGUGGAUCCCCAAAUCAAAAUGAACACCAUCAAACAAGAUAAAGACAAUCUGUCUCGGUCCCUGGGGAUAACCAGGAAACUACCUUAGAACUGCAUUGAGUGGCUGAAUACAGCGUCAGAAACGCUUGUGGCUCCAUCUCCUUUCAUCUGGAAUUCUGAAUUACCCUAAAGGAACUGAAACUCCACAUCCCCAUAUCGUACACCACUAUUUCCAAAACUGAGAGCCAAUCCUGUGUUCACACAAUCUCUUCUGCAACCUGAUGGAUGUUGUCUUGUAACAGUAAGACUGUGUGCCGCAUCCUUGUCCAAAGGCUGCUCCAGCAGUCUGCUUCUUGAAGUUACAUUUCUUCUUCCCAACCCAAGUUCUUUUGGGGUCAUUGUACUACUUGUUAAUCUUGUGCCAGCUUUUAUCUGAAUGGAAAUAGUUCCUCUCCCUUCCUGUAUUUGUUGCUCAUAUGUAAUCCAUGCCUCUCUCUGUCCCCUUUUUACACUAC
rnacentral:lncRNA from 1 species